rnacentral:tRNA from 1 species
GGCUCUGUAGCUAAGUUGGUUAGAGCGCUGCACCGGAAUCGCAGGGCCGUAGGUUCAAUUCCUACCAGAGGACCU